AUUCAGUUAACGAGUCCCAAAUAGGACGAAACGUGCAUCCUGGAU
rnacentral:hammerhead_ribozyme from 1 species